rnacentral:rRNA from 1 species
UACGGGGGAUGCGAGCGUUAUCCGGAUUUAUUGGGUUUAAAGGGUGCGUAGGCGGCGCUUCAGGUCAGCGGUGAAAUACCGGGGCUCAACCCCGGGGCUGCAUUGGAAACUGGCAGGCUGGAGUGCCGGAGAGGCAGGCGGAAUUCCUAGUGUAGCGGUGAAAUGCGUAGAUAUUAGGAGGAACACCAGUGGCGAAGGCGGCCUGCUGGACGGUGACUGACGCUGAGGCUCGAAAGCGUGGGGAGCAAACAGG